rnacentral:rRNA from 1 species
AGUGAACGCUGGCGGUAGGCCUAACACAUGCAAGUCGAGCGGCCGCACAGUAAGCGCUUGCUCCUACGGGUGGCGAGUGGCGGACGGGUGAGGAAUACAUCGGCAUCUUCUUUUUCGUGGGGGAUUACGUAGGGCCACUUAUGCUAAUACCGCAUACGUCCUACGGGUGAAAGCAGGAGUUCUUCAGACUUUGCCCGUUAGAUUGAGAUGAUGCCGGAUUAGCUAGUUGGCGGGGUAAAGGCCCACCAAGGCAACGAUCCGUAGCUGGUCUGAGAGGAUGAUCAGCCACACUGGAACUGAGACACGGUCCAGACUCCUACGGGAGGCAGCAGUAGGGAAUAUUGGGCAAUGGGCGCAAGCCUGAUCCAGCCAUACCGCGUGAGUGAAGAAGGCCUUCGGAUUGUAAAGCCCUUUUAUUGGGGAAGAAAAGAAGCGGGUUAAUACCCCGCUAUUCUGACGGUACCCAAAGAGUAAGCACCGGCUAACUACGUG